AUUGAACGCUGGCGGCAGGCCUAACACAUGCAAGUCGAGCGGUAACAGAGAUUAGCUUGCUAAUCUGCUGACGAGCGGCGGGCGGGUGUGUAAUGCAUAGGAAGUUGCCCAGUAGAGGGGGAUACCAGUUGGAAACGACUGUUAAUACCGCAUGAUCUCUUUGGAGCAAAGCAGGGGACCUUCGGGCCUUGCGCUACUGGAUACGCCUAUGUGGGAUUAGCUAGUUGGUGAGGUAAUGGCUCACCAAGGCGACGUACCCUAGCUGGUUUAAGCGGAUGAUGAGCCACACUGGGACGAGGACACGGCCCAGACUCCUACGGGAGGCAGCAGUGGGGAAUAUUGCACAAUGGGCGAAAGCCUGAUGCAGCCAUGCCGCGUGUAUGAAGAAGGCCUUCGGGUUUUAAAGUACUUUCAGUUGUGAGGAAGGUUGUGUAGUUAAUAGCUGCAUAAUUUGACGUUAGCAACAGAAGAAGCACCGGCUAACUCCGUG
rnacentral:rRNA from 1 species